rnacentral:rRNA from 1 species
AUUAGUGGCGAACGGGUGAGUAACACGUGGGCAAUCUGCCCUUCACUCUGGGACAAGCCCUGGAAACGGGGUCUAAUACCGGAUACGACUGCGGAAGGCAUCUUCCGCGGUGGAAAGCUCCGGCGGUGAAGGAUGAGCCCGCGGCCUAUCAGCUUGUUGGUGGGGUAAUGGCCUACCAAGGCGACGACGGGUAGCCGGCCUGAGAGGGCGACCGGCCACACUGGGACUGAGACACGGCCCAGACUCCUACGGGAGGCAGCAGUGGGGAAUAUUGCACAAUGGGCGAAAGCCUGAUGCAGCGACGCCGCGUGAGGGAUGACGGCCUUCGGGUUGUAAACCUCUUUCAGCAGGGAAGAAGCGAAAGUGACGGUACCUGCAGAAGAAGCGCCGGCUAACUACGUGCCAGCAGCCGCGGUAAUACGUAGGGCGCAAGCGUUGUCCGGAAUUAUUGGGCGUAAAGAGCUCGUAGGCGGCCAGUCACGUCGGAUGUGAAAGCCCGAGGCUUAACCUCGGGUCUGCAUUCGAUACGGGCUGGCUAGAGUGUGGUAGGGGAGAUCGGAAUUCCUGGUGUAGCGGUGAAAUGCGCAGAUAUCAGGAGGAACACCGGUGGCGAAGGCGGAUCUCUGGGCCAUUACUGACGCUGAGGAGCGAAAGCGUGGGGAGCGAACAGGAUUAGAUACCCUGGUAGUCCACGCCGUAAA